GAGAUACCCAGGCAAGUCACAUCUCAUUCUCUCUAGACUGCACAUUAGACUUUCUCUACCAUGCCUCAUUCCCACAUAACCCACUUUCAGCUUUCUUUCAUGUAUUUCUUCCCCCAUUAGAAAGUAAGAUCCCUCAGGUCAGGGACUGUCUCUCAGCUCUAGCAUAGUGCCUGGCACAUAAAUGUUUAAUAAAAGCUUGUUGACUGAUUAACUUGUAAACCUUACAAAACCAUGUAAAUGCCAACUAUUAAAUAAAGCAGUGUGGUAUAGUGAGUGAAAGUGAGCCCCAAAGAUCUCCUGCCAGCAUAUAUGGACCAAGCAUAACUGAGCAAGUCACUUAAUCUCUCAGUUUAGCUGUCUAGGCCAGUGGCGUCAAACUCAAAUAGAAAUGGGCCCCCGAAUGGUCUAUAAGAAUUUAGGUAAGUUGACAGAUAAUGUCUCCCAGCCUCUGUCUGCAUAGCCACCGGAACAACCAGCUGAAAAAGUGAAAAGUUUAGUCAAUCAGCUGAUUGCUUUGUGUACCCAACACCUAUCAGCAGGAGCUGACAACAGGUAAAUGCCUUGAGGUGCUAGGACCGAGGACCCAGCAGGAUGUAAACACACUUGUCAGAUGCUGUAACCAGAAGUCAGCCAUGGUCUGAGGAGCCUGCUUUCACCAAGAGAGUGAAGAAAGAUGGUGGCACACAGGUAACAGAUCUCUCUGAAGUCUAUCCCUGGACCCUUUGGAAGCGUCUAUGUUCCCCAGGUUAAGAACCCCUAGAUUAAAGGCAAACAGACAAUUUAUAAGCCUCACUGCUGUGCAUCAAAGAUGCUUUCUUUAAGAAAAAAAUGAAAAGACACAGGGCAAGGCUAUCCUUAUAAGCUUCUGGGAUAGAAGAUGGAGUGGACAAGGCAGAGGCAGUGGAGAGGAACUGGGAAGAGAAAAUGGCCAGUGGACAGAGCUGGAGUGUGGGGAAAGUCUGAGGUAAGGACAAGUGAGAUACCCAUAAGGUUGCUGAGAGAGAGAGAGAGAGAGAGAGAGAAGAAGAAGAAGAAGAAGAAGAAGAAGAAGAAGACGAAGAAGAAGAAGAAGAAGAAGAAGAAGAAGAAGAAGAUUAAGAAGAAGAAGAAGAAGAAGAAGAAGAAGAAGAAGAAGAAGAAGAAGAAGAAGAAGAAGAAGAAGAAGAAGAAGAAGAAGAAGAAGAAGAAGAAGAAGAAGAAGAAGAAGAAGAAGAAAAGAAGAAGAAACAAGGGAGGGAGAGAGGAAGGAAAGUGUCAAGUCAACAAGUCAAUACUACUUGUAGCAUAGUUCCUGGUGUACUUACUACAUCCCAGGAAUGAUACUAGAUGCUGGAUACAAAUAAAGGCAAGAACAGACCCA
rnacentral:lncRNA from 1 species